GUCGAGAAUCUUCCGCAAUGCACGAAAGCGUGACGGAGCGACACCGCGUGAUGGAUGAAGUCCUUCGGGGCGUAAACAUCUUUUAUAAAGGAGGAAAUUUUUGACGUUACUUUAUGAAUAAGGGGCUCCCAAUCUCGUGCCAGCAGGAGCGGUAAUACGAGAGCCUCAAGCGUUAUCCGGAAUCAUUGGGCGUAAAGGGUGCGUAGGUGGUUUGAUUAGUCUCCCGUUAAAACUUCGAGCUUAACUCGAAAAGAGCGGGGGAAACGGUCAAACUAGAGUAUGUGAGAGGUGUGUGGAACUCAUGGUGUAGGGGUGAAAUCCGUUGAUAUCAUGGGGAACACCAAAAGCGAAGGCAGCACACUGGCACAUCACUGACACUGAGGCACGAAACCUAAGGUAGCGAAUGGGAUUAGAUACCCUAGUAGUCC
rnacentral:rRNA from 1 species